UACGAAGGGGGCUAGCGUUGUUCGGAUUUACUGGGCGUAAAGCGCACGUAGGCGGAUCUUUAAGUCAGGGGUGAAAUCCCGGGGCUCAACCCCGGAACUGCCUUUGAUACUGGGUGUCUUGAGUGUGGUAGAGGUGAGUGGAAUUGCGAGUGUAGAGGUGAAAUUCGUAGAUAUUCGCAGGAACACCAGUGGCGAAGGCGGCUCACUGGACCACAACUGACGCUGAGGUGCGAAAGCGUGGGGAGCAAACAGG
rnacentral:rRNA from 1 species